GAGUAAAGAUUUCGGUCGCUUUGGGAGGAGCUCGCUUACUAUCAGCUUGUUGGUAGGGUAAUGGCCUACCAAGGCUAUGACGGUUAGGGGGUGUGAGAGCAUGACCCCCAGCAUUGGCACUGAAACACUGGCCAAACACCUACGGGUGGCUGCAGUCGAGAAUCUUCCACAAUGGGGGAAACCCUGAUGGAGCGAUGCUGCGUGCGGGAUGAAGGCCUUCGGGUUGUAAACCGCUUUUGUAGGGGACGAAAUUUUUGACGGUACCCUUUCGAAUAAGAGGUUGCUAACUCUGUGCCAGCAGCAGCGGUAAUACAGAGACCUCAAGCGUUAUCCGGAUUUACUGGGCGUAAAGCGUCUGUAGGGGGUUUAUUAAGUUCCAAGUAAAAUUUCAAGGCUCAACUUUGAAUUCGCUUGGAAAACUAAUAAACUGGAGUCUAGCAGAGGUGCAUGGAACUUGUGGUGUAGGAGUGAAAUCCGUUGAUAUCACAAGGAACACCAAAGGCGAAGGCAUUGCACUGGGCUAGCACUGACCCUGAGAGACGAAAGCGUGGGGAGCAAAACGGAUUAGAUACCCGUGUAGUCCACGCCCUAAACGAUGAAUGCUAAAUGUUCGGGGAUUCGAUCCCCUGGGUGUUACAGCUAACGCGUUAAGCAUUCCGCCUGGGAAGUACGGCCGCAAGGCUAAAACUCAAAGGAAUAGACGGGGAUCCGCACAAGCGGUGGAGCGUCUGGUUUAAUUCGACAGUAAGCGUGGUACCUCACCAGGGUUUGACAUCCCUUGACAGCCUUGGAAACAAGGUUUCCUUCGGGCAAGGUGACAGGUGCUGCAUGGUCGUCGUCAGUUCGUGCCGUGAGGUGUUCCGUUAAGUCGGGAAACGAACGAAACCCCUAUUGCAUGUUACAAUUUCUCAUGCAAGACUGCCCGGAUAUACUGGGAGGAAGGUGGGGAUGACGUCAGAUCUGCAUGGUCCUUAUACCCUGGGCGACACAGGCGCUACAAUGGCAGAGACAAAGGGUUGCAAAACCGCAAGGUGAAGCUAAUCCCAAAAACUUUGUCUAAGUUCGGAUUGAAGGCUGCAAUUCGCCUUCAUGAAGCUGGAAUCGCUAGUAAUCGCGAAUCAGCCACGUCACGGUGAAUAUGUUCCCGGAUCUUGUACUCACCGCCCGUCACACCAAGAGAGUUGGUAGCUCCCGAAG
rnacentral:rRNA from 1 species